UACGGAGGGUGCAAGCGUUGUCCGGAGUUACUGGGCGUAAAGGGCGUGCAGGCGGUUUUCUAAGUUCGGAGUGACAGUUCCCGGCUCAACUGGGGAAGGCCUACCGAAAACUGGAGAACUUGAGGGCCAGAGAGGGACAUAGAAUUCCGGGUGGAGUGGUGAAAUGCGUAGAUAUCCGGAGGAAUACCAAAGGCGAAGGCAGUGUCCUGGCUGGCAUCUGACGCUGAGGCGCGAAAGCUAGGGGAGCGAACAGG
rnacentral:rRNA from 1 species